GUACCAAAACAGAGAUAUAGACCAAUGGAACAGAACAGAGCCCUCAGAAACAAUGCCACAUAUCUACAACUAUCUGAUCUUUGACAAACCUGACAAAAACAAGAAAUGGGGAAGGGAUUCCCUAAAAGGCCCAGAAAUAAACCCUCACAUAUAUGGUAAAAUGAUUUUUGACAAGGGUGCCAAGACCAUUCAAUGGGGAAAGGACCAUCUUUUCAACAAACGGUCCUGAUAUAUAUAUAUGCAAUGGAAUAUUAUUCAGCCAUAAAAAGGAAAUUAUGACAGAUGGACUACAUCUUUCACUUUGCCACUCAGAGUUCAGGCCUGGCCAAGUUUUAACAAAAGGGAAUGUAGUCUUUGGCAUCUUUUGUUCAAGCGCUUUGGGUUCCACGGUAGAAAAGGAAAUAUCUUCGUAUAAAAACUAGAGAGAAUCAUUCUCAGAAAGUGUAUACUUAUCUUCAAAGACAUCAAGUUGUAUACAUUAAAUUUCUACAGGUUUUUGUAUGUCAGUCAUACCUUAAUAAAGGACUUAAAAAUAAUUUUUAAAAUACAUACAUAAUAUAUGUGUAUAUAUAAAAUAAAUGUAAAAUUCUCAUAAUGUAUAUGAAUACAUAUGUGCAUAUAAUGUACAUCUAUGACAUACACAUAAAAUAUACUUGUAUUAUAUUUCAAAUGAGACAUAAUGUGUAUAUGUAAUAUUUAUAGACAUAUAUUUCUAUUAUUUUGCUUAUUUUCUUUUUUUAACUUUCAUUUUACGUUCGGGGGUACAUAUGCAGGUUUGUUAUGUAGGUAAAUUUGUGUCACAGGAGUUUAUUGUACAGAUUAGUAGCACUUGGGUCUUGGGGUGCAGGUUCACUUUAUGUGGAAUGGUUGGAUGUAGGCUGCCCACAGAGCCAGGAUAUGUGACUCUGCAGCACCCCCUAGGAGCUCAAGCCCCGGGGUUCAGUUGUACCUGUAAUUCUACCCUGAGGGACAGAGCACAGCUCUGGUCCAGCUUUGGGGAAGAAGGGGUACUCUGGAGGUUCGGGCCCACAGAGUGGGUUUGGGAACCUGAGCCAAUAGGGCUCAGUGGCAACUCAGGUCCCUAGGGAUGAGGCACCGUGUAGUGGUGACUCUAGACCCUGGGACGGUGGGGCUCAGAAGUAUCCCAGACUGUGAAGCCAGGUGCAGUGGCACCA
rnacentral:lncRNA from 1 species